UACAGAGGUCUCAAGCGUUGUUCGGAUUCAUUGGGCGUAAAGGGUGCGUAGGUGGCGAGGUAAGUCGGAUGUGAAAUCUCAGGGCUCAACCCUGAAACUGCAUUCGAUACUGCCGUGCUUGAGGACUGGAGAGGAGACUGGAAUUUACGGUGUAGCAGUGAAAUGCGUAGAGAUCGUAAGGAAGACCAGUGGCGAAGGCGGGUCUCUGGACAGUUCCUGACACUGAGGCACGAAGGCCAGGGGAGCAAACGGG
rnacentral:rRNA from 1 species